AGAGAGAGACAUGCGCGCAUAUCAAUAAGCGGAGGAAAAGAAACUAACAAGGAUUCCCCUAGUAACGGCGAGUGAAGCGGGAAGAGCUCAAAUUUGAAAUCUUAAAGGGUUUCCCUUUACGAAUUGUAGUUUAAAGAAGUGUUUUCUGUUGAGGUUUUGGUAAAAGUUCUUUGGAAUAGGACAUCAUAAGGGUGAGAAUCCCGUAUUUGACCUUUACUUUCAACUUUGUGAUACACUUUCAAAGAGUCGGAUUGUUUGGGAAUGCAGUCCAAAAUGGGUGGUAAAUUUCAUCUAAAGCUAAAUAUUGGCGAGAGGACCGAUAGCGAACAAGUACCGUGAGGGAAAGAUGAAAAGAACUUUGAAAAGAGAGUUAAACAGUACGUGAAAUUGUCAAAAGGGAAGCGUUUGACACCAGUGUUGUUUUUCUGAAAAUCAAUUAAAGAACUGUUUAUGCUAAGCUGUUUAGACUUUAUCAGCUAUCUGUUUAGUUUUGAGCUUUUCUUUAAUGCACUUUUCAGUUAACAAGUCAACAUCAAUUUCUUUUGCUGUAAAAAAGCUUGAGGAAGGUGGCUUGAGAUUCGUCUUAAGUGUUUAUAGCCUCUUGCCUAUGCAGUCGGAGAGAUUGGGGUCUGCAGCGUAGAUCCUUCGGGGCUAAAUGCAUUUGUGCUAAGUUAUAGCAUUUUAUAGACAACUUGUUGACUAUGAUUUGUCUUGUAGCUUACUCGCUUAUGUUAUUUUACCUACGCUUAGGAUGUUGACGCAUGAGAUAUACGC
rnacentral:rRNA from 1 species